GCUGGGCAUGGUGGCGCAUGCCUGUAGUACCAGCUACUUGGGAGGCUGAGGCAGGAGAAUCGCUUGAACCCAGGAGGCAGAGGUUGCAGUGAGCCAAGAUCGCGCCACUGCAAUCCAGCCUGGAUGACAAUGCGAGACUCUGUCUCAA
ensembl:misc_RNA Metazoa_SRP Metazoan signal recognition particle RNA